rnacentral:rRNA from 1 species
AACGAACGCUGGCGGCAUGCCUAACACAUGCAAGUCGAACGAAGGCUUCGGCCUUAGUGGCGCACGGGUGAGUAACGCGUGGGAAACUGCCUAUUGGUGGGGAAUAACGACGGGAAACUGUCGCUAAUACCGCAUAAGCCCUUCGGGGGACAGAUGUAUCGCCGAUAGAUGUGCCCGCGUCCGAUUAACUAGUUGGUGAGGCAAUGGCUCACCAAGGCGACGAUCGGUAGCUGGUCUGAGAGGAUGAUCAGCCACACUGGGACUGAGACACGGCCCAGACUCCUACGGGAGGCAGCAGUGGGGAAUAUUGGACAAUGGGCGAAAGCCUGAUCCAGCAAUGCCGCUUGAGUGAUGAAGGCCUUAGGGUUGUAAAGCUCUUUCGGGUGGGACGAUGAUGACGGUACCACCAGAAGAAGCCCCGGCUAACUUCGUGCCAGCCGCCGCGGUAA